rnacentral:rRNA from 1 species
CCUACGGGAGGCAGCAGUGGGGAAUUUUGGACAAUGGGGGGCAACCCUGAUCCAGCAAUGCCGCGUGAGUGAAGAAGGCCCUCGGGUUGUAAAGCUCUUUUGUCAGGGAAGAAACGGUGGUUCCUAAUACGAGCUGCUAAUGACGGUACCUGAAGAAUAAGCACCGGCUAACUACGUGCCAGCAGCCGCGGUAAUACGUAGGGUGCAAGCGUUAAUCGGAAUUACUGGGCGUAAAGCGUGCGCAGGCGGUUAUAUAAGACAGAGGUGAAAUCCCCGGGCUCAACCUGGGAACUGCCUUUGUGACUGUAUGGCUAGAGUGUGUCAGAGGGGGGUAGAAUUCCACGUGUAGCAGUGAAAUGCGUAGAUAUGUGGAGGAAUACCGAUGGCGAAGGCAGCCCCCUGGGAUAACACUGACGCUCAUGCACGAAAGCGUGGGGAGCAAACAGGAUUAGAUACCCUGGUAGUCCACGCCCUAAACGAUGUCUACUAGUUGUCGGGACUUAAUUGUCUUGGUAACGCAGCUAACGCGUGAAGUAGACCGCCUGGGGAGUACGGUCGCAAGAUUAAAAACUUAAAUGAAAUUGACGG